UACGUAGGGGGCAAGCGUUGUCCGGAUUUAUUGGGCGUAAAGAGCGUGUAGGCGGCUUUACAGGUCCGUUGUGAAAACUCGAGGCUCAACCUCGAGACGUCGAUGGAAACCGUAUGGCUAGAGUCCGGAAGAGGAGAGUGGAAUUCCUGGUGUAGCGGUGAAAUGCGCAGAUAUCAGGAAGAACACCCGUGGCGAAGGCGGCUCUCUGGGACGGUACUGACGCUGAGACGCGAAAGCGUGGGGAGCGAACAGG
rnacentral:rRNA from 1 species